AUAAUUCGGUAGGUGAGGCUACCGCAGGGAUACGGACUGCUGCCGCGAAGUGGUGGAGACACCAUGAGAAGGCCAACAGUUUAUGUCGAAAUUAAGGCGUAGAACUAAUGCAGUUUCAUUGCCCUGUGAUGCUAAAGCUUGGACGAUGGC
rnacentral:sRNA from 1 species